UACAGAGGUCUCAAGCGUUGUUCGGAUUCAUUGGGCGUAAAGGGUGCGUAGGCGGCGCGGUAAGUCGGGUGUGAAAUUUCGAGGCUUAACUCCGAAACUGCAUUCGAUACUGGCGUGCUUGAGGACUGGAGAGGAGACUGGAAUUCAUGGUGUAGCAGUGAAAUGCGUAGAGAUCAUGAGGAAGACCAGUGGCGAAGGCGGGUCUCUGGGCCGAUACUGACGCUGAGGAGCGAAAGCGUGGGGAGCAAACAGG
rnacentral:rRNA from 1 species